rnacentral:rRNA from 1 species
GCAUAUCAAUAAGCGGAGGAAAAGAAACCAACAGGGAUUGCCCUAGUAACGGCGAGUGAAGCGGCAACAGCUCAAAUUUGAAAUCUGGCCUCGGCCCGAGUUGUAAUUUGCAGAGGAAGCUUUAGGCGCGGCCCCAGCUGAGUCCCCUGGAACGGGGCGCCACAGAGGGUGAGAGCCCCGUAUAGCUGGACGCCUAGCCUGUGUAAAGCUCCUUCGACGAGUCGAGUAGUUUGGGAAUGCUGCUCAAAAUGGGAGGUAAAUUUCUUCUAAAGCUAAAUACCGGCCAGAGACCGAUAGCGCACAAGUAGAGUGAUCGAAAGAUGAAAAGCACUUUGAAAAGAGGGUUAAAUAGCACGUGAAAUUGUUGAAAGGGAAGCGCUUGUGACCAGACUUGCGCCGGGCUGAUCAUCCGGUGUUCUCACCGGUGCACUCUGCCCGGCUCAGGCCAGCAUCGGUUUUCGCGGGGGGAUAAAGGCCCCGGGAACGUAGCUCCUCCGGGAGUGUUAUAGCCCGGGGCGUAAUGCCCUCGCGGGGACCGAGGUUCGCGCUCUGCAAGGAUG